rnacentral:tRNA from 1 species
AAGGAAGGACAGAAAUCAGUAAGUACUGUUAAUUCUUAUGCACCGCGGUUAAAAUCCACGGCUUCCUCG